GCGCCUGUAGUUCAAUGGAUAGAACGAGGGACUUCUAAUCCCUUAAUGCAGGUUCGAUUCCUGCCGGGCGUA
rfam:Parcubacteria group bacterium CG1_02_41_12 cg1_0.2_scaffold_2246_c, whole genome shotgun sequence.